CGAGUCUUUAAAAGAUCCGGUUCAAACGUUAGUGUCACUUGAUCUGCGCCAUUUGCGGGUAGCCUAUUUAUUGAUUCACUGACAAGAUCCGACUCGAUCCGAAUCGGUUAUGCAAAAUGUUUGAUUCGCUCAAAAGAUUCAGUGCAAAGGAUUAAUUUGUGGCGGACUUAGACAAUUCAAAAAUACGUUUUAUUGGUGUUGUUUUACAGCACACGAUCUCAAAUUCAAUGUAUACGGUAACAUUACGUCAGGUCUUUCUUUUUAUAUAACGUUAGCUUGAUGGACGCAUCGCGUGAGCAAAUCCGCACGCGCGAGAAAUAGGUUACCAAGACACAAACCUAAUUGCCUGGAAAUCUUUUCCUUCACAUCAAACUUACUUUGGGCUUUUAGUCAUUAGUGCCAGUGCUCGAAGAUUCAACACAUUUCUUUCCCUUCUGGAUAUGUCCCUCCAGGAUUGCAAAAAACUGCAGUGCACCGAGGCCCAACACAGCCAUGGAAACACUUCACAAAACACCUGUCAGACCUGAUCCUGUUCAAACACCUGCUUCAGGAAUCACAGCCUACCAUCAGCGGCCAAGCCUGUUUCUCCUGGGCACAAACAUUGAGCAUAUAAUCUUUAAGCAGAGCGAACGAAAGCCGCCUUGCCUCCAUCCGACCUGCUGAGUCUCCUGCAGGGG
rnacentral:lncRNA from 1 species